UGAGUUUGAUUCUGGCUCAGGAUGAACGCUGGCGGUCUGCUUAACACAUGCAAGUCGAACGAACUCUUCGGAGUGAGUGGCGGACGGGUGAGUAACGCGUGAGAAUCUGCCUGUGGGUCGGGGACAACUACUGGAAACGGUGGCUAAUACCGGAUGAGCCGAAAGGUAAAAGAUUUAUUGCCCACAGAUGAGCUCGCGUCUGAUUAGCUAGUUGGUAAGGUAAAAGCGUACCAAGGCGACGAUCAGUAGCUGGUCUGAGAGGAUGAGCAGCCACACUGGGACUGAGACACGGCCCAGACUCCUACGGGAGGCAGCAGUGGGGAAUUUUCCGCAAUGGGCGAAAGCCUGACGGAGCAAGACCGCGUGGGGGAGGAAGGUUUUUGGAUCGUAAACCCCUUUUGUCAAGGAAGAAGCUCUGACGGUACUUGACGAAUAAGCCUC
rnacentral:rRNA from 1 species